CCUGCCAGCAAAUUGUACCACUUGUACUCAACUCCUUUUCUGACGAAGAUAGCAGGGUGCAUUAUUGUGCCUGUGAAGCAUUAUAUAACAUAGCAAAGGUUGUAAGAGGAGAUUUCAUUGUAUUCUUUAAUAUUUUCAACUAAUAACUAGGAUAUUAUAUAAUCAAUGAUUCCACAAUUUUUGAAUUUCUCCAGGAGAUUUUGAAAAACUCUCUAGUAAGACUUCAAUUCUCCAUCUAUGGCAAUUCUUAUAUCUUAUAUAAGAAACUUAACGAUUUUUCUUCCUUACAAUACAUUAUCAAAACAUUUUCCUUUUUUUUUUUUUUUUUGGUUUCCCCUAGUUUAUGGCUUAAUCUAGACAAGAAAAUGAUGUUAGAUAGUUCUUUUUAUGAUCAGAAUGGUGCUAGAGAUCCAUAUUUAUUUGACCAAGAAUUUUAAAUGAAUUUGAGUAGUAGUGUAUGAAUCUUUUUUUUUAUGGUUUUAUAGUUAUUUAGAAUUUAUUUAUUUUUUCAUAUGGGAACUCUGUUUGAUGAUUUGGAUUAUGAAAAUUUUCAAAUUGACGUAUUAAUCUUUGAUCCCUUUAUUCCUCUUCUAAAAAAUUGUCAUGUUUGGAGCUUUUAGGAGCUCUUGACUACACUUGCCCUGUUUGGGCAUGACAUAACACUGAUCGAAGUAGUGAGACAGUUUUACACAUUUGUAGAUGACAGAAAUACAUCACUGCUCCCUACUGACACAAGAAAGGUUGUAUAUGUUGCUGUAAUGCAGACCGUCACAACAUCAAACAAAUCUCCAUAUGAAUCUCUUCUAAAAGUUUAUAGAGAGAAUGAUCUAAGCCAAGAGAAAGUGCUCAUUCUAACUAUGUCAAUACCUAUAUGAAUUUUAAGGAAAUUGAUUGGGUCCAUUUUACUUUUGGGUGAUAAUCUCUCUUAUCAUUCUUUGUAGGUUCACUGGCAUCUUGUCCCGAUCCAGAUAUCGUCCUCAAAAUUCUAAAGUUUUUCUCAUCCUCUUAGGUAUGUCAGUUUGUUUUCUCAUUGAGCCAUAGCCCAUAAGUAUUCUCUCAGUAAUCUCCCAUGAAUUUCCUAAGUGAAGGUACUUGUAAAUGAUUUCAAGUCUGAAGUUGGUGACAGGUACUUUUUUCUGAAGAACAACCAACUCUUUCUUCUUACAGUGAAGAUUUGUGUCAUAGUUAAUGUAGUUGCAUUUGAUUACUCUUUUGAUGAUGUUCAGAUGAAAAACUUGUUUUGAUGAAUUUGAUAUUAACAUACAUGCCUUUUUUUUGUCAAAACAAACUAGUAUAUGCU